rnacentral:rRNA from 1 species
AGAGUUUGAUCAUGGCUCAGGACGAACGCUGGCGGCGUGCUUAACACAUGCAAGUCGAACGGAAAGGCCCUGCUUUUGUGGGGUGCUCGAGUGGCGAACGGGUGAGUAACACGUGAGUAACCUGCCCUUGACUUUGGGAUAACUUCAGGAGACUGGGGCUAAUACCGGAUAGGAGCUCCUGCUGCAUGGUGGGGGUUGGAAAGUUUCGGCGGUUGGGGAUGGACUCGCGGCUUAUCAGCUUGUUGGUGGGGUAGUGGCUUACCAAGGCUUUGACGGGUAGCCGGCCUGAGAGGGUGACCGGCCACAUUGGGACUGAGAUACGGCCCAGACUCCUACGGGAGGCAGCAGUGGGGAAUAUUGCACAAUGGGCGGAAGCCUGAUGCAGCAACGCCGCGUGCGGGAUGACGGCCUUCGGGUUGUAAACCGCUUUCGCCUGUGACGAAGCGUGAGUGACGGUAAUGGGUAAAGAAGCACCGGCUAACUACGUGCCAGCAGCCGCGGUGAUACGUAGGGUGCGAGCGUUGUCCGGAUUUAUUGGGCGUAAAGGGCUCGUAGGUGGUUGAUCGCGUCGGAAGUGUAAUCUUGGGGCUUAACCCUGAGCGUGCUUUCGAUACGGGUUGACUUGAGGAAGGUAGGGGAGAAUGGAAUUCCUGGUGGAGCGGUGGAAUGCGCAGAUAUCAGGAGGAACACCAGUGGCGAAGGCGGUUCUCUGGGCCUUUCCUGACGCUGAGGAGCGAAAGCGUGGGGAGCGAACAGGCUUAGAUACCCUGGUAGUCCACGCUGUAAACGGUGGGUACUAGGUGUGGGGUCCAUUCCACGGGUUCCGUGCCGUAGCUAACGCUUUAAGUACCCCGCCUGGGGAGUACGGCCGCAAGGCUAAAACUCAAAGGAAUUGACGGGGCCCCGCACAAGCGGCGGAGCAUGCGGAUUAAUUCGAUGCAACGCGUAGAACCUUACCUGGGUUCGACAUGGAUCGGGAGUGCUCAGAGAUGGGUGUGCCUCUUUUGGGGUCGGUUCACAGGUGGUGCAUGGCUGUCGUCAGCUCGUGUCGUGAGAUGUUGGGUUAAGUCCCGCAACGAGCGCAACCCUUGUUCACUGUUGCCAGCACGUUAUGGUGGGGACUCAGUGGAGACCGCCGGGGUCAACUCGGAGGAAGGUGGGGAUGACGUCAAGUCAUCAUGCCCCUUAUGUCCAGGGCUUCACGCAUGCUACAAUGGCUGGUACAGAGAGUGGCGAGCCUGUGAGGGUGAGCGAAUCUCGGAAAGCCGGUCUCAGUUCGGAUUGGGGUCUGCAACUCGACCUCAUGAAGUCGGAGUCGCUAGUAAUCGCAGAUCAGCAACGCUGCGGUGAAUACGUUCCCGGGGCUUGUACACACCGCCCGUCAAGUCAUGAAAGUUGGUAACACCCGAAGCCGGUGGCCUAACCGUUGUGGGGGAGCCGUCGAAGGUGGGACUGGUGAUUAGGACUAAGUCGUAACAAGGUAACC